GACCUGACCGCUCCUGUGGCCAAGUGGUUAGAGCGUCUGCCUCAGAUGCGGGAGGUCAUGGAUUCAAUGCCCGGUCGAGUCA